rnacentral:rRNA from 1 species
UACGUAGGGUGCGAGCGUUGUCCGGAAUUAUUGGGCGUAAAGAGCUCGUAGGCGGCUUGUUGCGUCGGCUGUGAAAACCCAUGGCUCAACCGUGGGCUUGCAGCCGAUACGGGCAGGCUAGAGUUCGGUAGGGGAGACUGGAAUUCCUGGUGUAGCGGUGAAAUGCGCAGAUAUCAGGAGGAACACCAAUGGCGAAGGCAGCUCGCUGGGACGUGACUGACGCUGAGACGCGAAAGCGUGGGGAGCAAACAGG